rnacentral:lncRNA from 1 species
GAAGCUGGAGGAAGCAAAGGUGAAUGGAAUACACAGCAGGAGAGGCCUGCCCGGAAGCCAGGAGGGCCCAGAGCUUCAAGUCCUAGAGACAAGAGUGAGGACAAGAGAGGUGUGGGUUUUGCAAGACAGACGCAGGAAGCAGGUACAGAGGGAGAUAUUGUCUAUCUAGAUACAAAGGCACUGAACAGUGCCAAGGACACGUGAAGAACACCCACAGCCUGAGAGGGAAGGACCAGUUUGUCUUUAUCUUCCUACAGCCAUUUACUUUCUUCAUGCAAGAACAUCCAUAUUCCAGCUUGCUUGCUGCCUGCUCUGCCACUCCAUCUGCCACCAGCAUCUUCGCAGUGUCGCCAAGCUCUCAUCUGGCUUCCUGAGCAGCUCCGUCAGCAUUGCGGCCGUGACAGCACACAGGGACCGGCAGAAGACAAUCACCACAGCAAAGCCUGGACUGCAGCUGUUCUGCACAAACCUCUAGGUUUCAGAAUCUGAAAGGAAAAGGAGAACCUGAUAGAAAUCCUGAACUCAUGAAGAUGAACUAUCAUAAAGGAACGAAAACAGAAUUUUAGAAUAAGUGCUUAAUUGUGAAUUUCCAUAUAUAAAAUUCCACGAUAGUUAGAGUGCACGAUCAAAACAAUUGUGCACGUUCAGUAGUGAAUUGCUGAGUGAUAAUUUGCAUUAAUGGUGCCCUCACAUUAACCAAUUCAAGCAAAC